rnacentral:rRNA from 1 species
UACGGAGGGUGCAAGCGUUGUCCGGAUUUAUUGGGUUUAAAGGGUGCGUAGGCGGCUUGAUAAGUCCGUGGUGAAAGCCAACAGCUCAACUGUUGAACUGCCAUGGAUACUGUCAGGCUUGAGUACAGACGAGGUAGGCGGAAUGGAUCGUGUAGCGGUGAAAUGCAUAGAUACGAUCCAGAACUCCGAUUGCGAAGGCAGCUUACUAAAGUAUAACUGACGCUGAGGCACGAAAGUGCGGGGGAUCAAACAGG